rnacentral:tRNA from 1 species
GUGAGUGUAGCUCAAUUGGUUAGAGCACCUGACUGUGGCUCAGGAUGCUGCCCGAUUCGGGUCACUCACC